rnacentral:rRNA from 1 species
GGUUGCGAUCAUACCAGCACUAAUGCACCGGAUCCCAUCAGACUCCGCAGUUAAGCGUGCUUGGGCGAGAGUAGUACUAGGAUGGGUGACCCCCUGGGAAGUCCUCGUGUUGCAACCC